GCAUAAAUUACGAGGUCCAUAAUGCUGUUGGCGAUUUCCAAUCUCUGCAACAUCUAAUACAUACGUUAAAAUCCCUCGAAGACGGUUCUUCAAAAUCACAUGCAGCUUUUCUAUUCAGUACAUUGUUAGCUUGAUCAUUACAGCUCACAAAAUCUAGACUGGAUACAUUUAUCUGAACGUCAUAUAAAGUGUGUUCAAAGUCUAUGUUGAACAAUUUAUAACAACACAUAGCUGAGUGGGGGAUAGAGCAGAUUGAUAUCCCGAGAAAACAUUGUCAACCGCGGCGAAGCCGAAUAACAAAAAAAAAAACUCAAAAGAUAAAUAAGUUGGAAUUUAUAUACAUUUGUUUUAGAUAUUCACAUCUAUGCACUGUCCGCACUAUAAUAACGGAACAAAACCAACGAUGGAGAAAAA
rnacentral:lncRNA from 1 species